AGUUGUGGUGGUUUUCUUUCUGGCACAUUUGUUAAGUUUUCAAAUGGGCCUGACUCUGCCACAUAUAUUCUAUAGGAGCUGGGAAAGGCUUGAUGACAAAGAGAUUUAUUUCUCUCUAGCCUUUCCCGCAUCAGAGAUUGGCUCCCACAUGG
rnacentral:snoRNA from 1 species